GACUCGCAGAAGGCCUGUUCAGUGCGAGGUAGACAAAGUCAAUUAUGUUACACCGUUGUCGGUUUCAAUGAACAGAUGUGUAUAUAUCAGAGGAAAUAGAUGUGAAAUGGGAAUACUUGGAGUACUUGAUACAGAGCACAAAGAACGAAUGACUAUUGUUCACAAAGACGUCUUCAAAACAACUGAAACUUUACUUUUCAUGGCAUUUGAUCAUUCCUGUGCCGUUUUCAAGGUGGAGUCAAUGGU